rnacentral:rRNA from 1 species
UGGGGAAUUUUGGACAAUGGGCGAAAGCCUGAUCCAGCAAUGCCGCGUGUGUGAAGAAGGCCUUCGGGUUGUAAAGCACUUUUGUCCGGAAAGAAAUCCUUGGCUCUAAUACAGUCGGGGGAUGACGGUACCGGAAGAAUAAGCACCGGCUAACUACGUGCCAGCAGCCGCGGUAAUACGUAGGGUGCAAGCGUUAAUCGGAAUUACUGGGCGUAAAGCGUGCGCAGGCGGUUUGCUAAGACCGAUGUGAAAUCCCCGGGCUCAACCUGGGAACUGCAUUGGUGACUGGCAGGCUAGAGUAUGGCAGAGGGGGGUAGAAUUCCACGUGUAGCAGUGAAAUGCGUAGAGAUGUGGAGGAAUACCGAUGGCGAAGGCAGCCCCCUGGGCCAAUACUGACGCUCAUGCACGAAAGCGUGGGGAGCAAACAGGAUUAGAUACCCUGGUAGUCCACGCCCUAAACGAUGUCAACUAGUUGUUGGGGAUUCAUUUCCUUAGUAACGUAGCUAACGCGUGAAGUUGACCGCCUGGGGAGUACGGUCGCAAGAUUAAAACUCAAAGGAAUUGACGGG